CGGUCUGAGGUGGAGGAGAUGA
rnacentral:misc_RNA from 1 species